rnacentral:lncRNA from 1 species
AUGGAAUUAACUGGCAAACUGAUGUCUCUGCUUCCCCUUACUGGCGGAGCUCAGUGGGAGCCUCACUCCUUGCUGCCACUCCUUCCUUCCUUCCGUCCUGCCGAGUUGCCCUUUUCUACUCCCCAGCACUCCCAACCUGCAUACUCAGGUACCCAGCAUAAUUGCCUGGCACAGAGACAACCCUCAAAAACUGUUUACAUAAUUGGUAAACUGGUUUGA